UACAGAGGUCUCAAGCGUUGUUCGGAUUCAUUGGGCGUAAAGGGUGCGUAGGCGGCGCGGUAAGUCGGGUGUGAAAUCUCGGGGCUUAACUCCGAAACUGCAUUCGAUACUGCCGUGCUUGAGGACUGGAGAGGAGACUGGAAUUUACGGUGUAGCGGUGAAAUGCGUAGAUAUCGUAAGGAAGGCCGGUGGCGAAAGCGAGGCUCUGGACAGUUGCUGACGCUGUGGCACGAAGGCUAGGGGAGCAAACGGG
rnacentral:rRNA from 1 species